ensembl:lncRNA
CUGCUAUUUAAAAGCAAAUCUGCUGUAACAAUUGCCAGUGAUCCUGAUCACUUUCUGUAUUUUCAGUUGAAAAUGAAGAUAAACAAUGAAGCAUUUUUAUCAAUUAUUUCAAAGCAUUUUACAAAAAAAAAAAAAAAAUCAGGAUAAAAAUCUUUUUUAACUAAUGAAGAAACUUAGGAAGAGCAAAAAAAAUGUGGAAAAAGAAAGGAAAACAUGAUUUUCUCAGUAUUACGAGGUAGGUAACCCAGGCACUAUGUGCUGCUGCUGUGGGACAAGGAGGGACAAAGCGGAAUCCGGUACCUUUGGAACUCUUACUUUAUAGCCCCACAUGGUCAUCCUUAGUCUGUGGAGGAAGGUAGCAGCCUGUGCUGCCUGCUUUCUCCUCCUCCCAUCUCAGGAUGAAAACUAGAAAAAAAAUGCUCUGUACUUGCAUUUCAAAGGCAUAGUCUAGUCCUUAGCAUGUGGUCUGAAUUAGAAAGAUAUUGCUGUAGUUAAUAUUAGAUUUUCAAGAAAAGUUCUUCUUUAUUUACUCGCAUCUUUUAAAAAAUCCAAAUUCAUAAUGUUGAAUGCACAAAUUUUAUUUCCUAUUAACACACUGUAUUCUUGAAUUGGUAGUAAAGAGAAUUUUAAACAACAGUGGCAGAUGGCCGAAUUACCCCUCCAGGGUGACUGGAAAGGAUGGUCACUGUUUUACUCGAUAGAUUAUGGUGAAGUGUAUUGAGAUAACAUGGACUGGGUGUGUAUUGUUGCAUUAGAAAUAAGACAUACAAUUUUGGCUAGAGUUUCUGUCUGCCCUCCCAUCUGAUCCAGAGAGCCACUAAUUUAGUACAAGUGUUCAUUAUGAAAAAUGUAAUAGACCUGAAGCUGGAUGACUGGGUCCUGGGAGCUAUUCAGCUAUUCCAUUAUUUUAUUUUAUCUUAUUUUACAGACACUGAGGAUUGUACCAUAUGUUUCUUUAACUGUAUUCCUGGUAAAAAUCUGAUUUUGAUUGGCACAAAUUGAACGUAUUCCAUAUAUCCUAACCUAUUACAGGUUAUCCUUACCCUAGCAAUUGAACUUUAGCUCUAAUUCAGAAGAAGAAAAAAAAAAAAAAAAAAGAAAAAAGAGUGCAAAGGCAAUCGUUUUCAUGUCUUUGCCAGAUGAAGCUGAAUAGAAGUACUGUCAGAGUAAGAAAUUCAGGAUUUGACCCUCUGAGUAGAUUUUAUUUUCAAAGCAGGUUCCCAGAAGCCACAGAGAAAAAAGGAAACAAAGCUAAAAUUGGGACAAGGUCAACUGGAUACAGAAGAGACUGUAACAAACCUAAAAUAGUUCUGUUAUUUUUGUUUCAGCUAAAGUUCACAGAAUUUUUAUUAAUAAUCUAACCUAGAUAUUUAGGCAGGAAUCAGACAGAACAACUUUUUAAUGACUGCCCAGCGGGAAGGUUAUAUUCAUAACUAGUGUUCAUAGUUCACUUCAUAUUUGACACUGACAGAUACAGUUACUGCCUUAAAUAUUGAAAGCCUAAGAAGUAUCCCUCUACAAACAGUAUAACACAUUACAGAGAGUUGAAGAAAUCUUUUGAGUGUAUUCAUUGCUUGGAAACAUAUAUAUUAUACAUACGUACAAGCAAUGAGAAACACGUGUAUUUUAUCAGGAUAAGCUACACUUAUUUGCAACCAGUAUGGGUAGGAGAAGGAUCAGGUCUUAUUUUAACAUGAUAGAAAUGCAGACAGGGAAAAUUUUCUGAGCAGAAAUUCAUACUUUCAAAUCAGUGGAUAGAGUUAAUUAAUCUUAAUUAAAAAAAAAUGAAGAUACUAUUUUUACUUCAGCCUCUUCUCUAAAGUAAUUAUACCACAGAUGAGGCAUAUACUUACUCUGAUACACCACCAACUUCCCCAAUUCCCCCCAGAAAGAAAAAUAAUAACAACAAAAACAACACUGCACUCCAAAAAGAAAAGAGAAGAAAAGAGAAGAGAAGAAAAGAGAAGAGAAGAAAAGAGAAGAAAAGAGAAGAGAAGAAAAGAGAAGAAAAGAGAAGAGAAGAGAAGAGAAGAGAAGAGAAGAGAAGAGAAGAGAAGAGAAGAAAAGAAAAGAAAAGAAAAGAAAAGAAAAGAAAAGAAAAGAAAAGAAAAGAAAAGAAAAGAAAAGAAAAGAAAAGAAAAGAAAAGAAAAGAAAAGAAAAGAAAAGAAAAGAAAAGAAAAGAAAAGAAAAGAAAAGAAAAGAAAAGAAAAGAAAAGAAGACCAAAUUAGGCAUCGGAUAUCACGAGUCACAGUGGUACUCAGAGUUCCUUCUGCUGCUACGAAUAGAAAUUACUGUUAAAAGUCUCUCUGAAAAGGUGUCUGUAAUUCAGAAUUUGUUUUAUGUGCAAUUUAAAGUAGCUUAAAUUUAUUUGUUCUCUUUCAGAAGUUAUACUUUAACAUGAAAAACACCGAAGAGCAUAAAUUGUUCUUUAUUUAACAAUUUUAGAUCUGGGAAUAUUUCAUUUAGAUCUAUUCUAGAUUUUACUGCUGGUGUUAACAUGCAGGUAGUAUUCUGUCAUUCUUUCAGUUUUGCAAUGAUCUAACAGUGAAUUUUUCACUGAUGCAACAUGCAGAUAUUAUUCUUUUAUAUGCAUUUCAGUAAAUAUUAAACAAGUAUAUAAAAUAUAUGUAAAGGGUACUGGGAAUUUAGGGCCUACUCUGUAUGCUUAUGAUGGAGGUUGUUGUCCACUCUUCCGAAAGAUGACACUCGAGAAUUCAGAUGACAUGGAAAAUACAGAGGUUUUAAAUAGUGAUGCAGCUAAAAUGCAAAACUCAGCCAAUGACAGCAAUAUCCCUUCCAAACUCUUUUUAACAGACACAAACUACUAAAUCCUUUAACUACAGAAUUGAGUCUGACUGACAGCUGAAGAAAAGUACACCUGGUAUUUAGAGAUAAACACUCUCAGUGUCAUAAAAAGGUAUGCCAGAUCUAACCUUCAGCCUGGACUUAGAAUGUCACAGUACAAAGGAAAUAGUUUUGUUUUUAUUCUUUGUCAUUAACAGGCUGGCUGAGCCAGGAGUUGGCUCUGAGUUCCUUAAAAAUGAGAGCAAAAAUGUAAUGUAUUUACGUCCUAAUCACAAAAAUGCCAGAAUAGUCUGCAUACUUUGUUAAUAGUCCUAAUGCCUUUCCAGGAAGGACAUACAGAGUAGUCUCAUUGGGGUUACUCUUAGUGUUAAAAUCAUGGAUCUGUUAAAUGUGUUAGGAAAUUAUGAUCUUUACUGUAUAAUUAGUAAGAUCUCUUGAUUCUCAUUGCUUAAGAUCCCAGAAGCUGAUAGGAGCUACUUUCUCUAUUUUACAGUGGGUAAGCUUGGGUGCAUGAAGAUAGUCCUGCCAAAGGCCAGGCAGGGAAUCCUUAACAAAGCCCAGAGCCCUUUAAGUUUCAUCUGAGUACUUUAACUUCACAGCAGCAAUUUUUAUCACCCUUUUAAUUUCACUGAAAAAGCCUUUAAAUACUCAAUAUAAUAACAGGUGACUGAAGGAUGAUCUGGAGGUAACUUGAAAGGAGAAGAUUUUUUUGCUUUCCACCUUAAAAAAGCACGGGUAUAUUAAACAAUGAGAACUGACAACAAAGGUAAGCUAAAAGCUAAACAUAAUAAGACACUGUUUUCAGCAUUUCAAAAGAACUAAAUACAACACAUCAGCAGCUUCAAAAUCCUUUUGAACAAAUGCACUCAGAAACAACUAACUGGCAAACAAAGCUAUUAUGAAGAUGACAGUGUGGCCAGUGAUCUUUUGGCACAUCAACUCCAUAAAGUGUAGGCCUCUAGGAAUACUCCUCACAUUUCAGUAAGUAGAAGAGCAAAUUUAACAACAGAUACUGAGGUCAGGGUAUUAUAAUUUGUUGAUUUUUACAAAGUUUAAUAGAUGAGAAUGUCCCCAAAAUGAGAAGUAUAUCCCUUAUUUAUUGUUGAAGGGAUUUGAUUUACUUUAAAUUUUAAAGGAUCGAUACAGUGAUCAGAAUUUCAGAGUCCCAGUCACAAUACUUUAUAUUUAGAUUAAUUUUUAUUCUGCCAAAGCAAUAUAGAAGCAUCUUAAACAGCACUCAUAACAUAAGAUAGAUGUCCUGUACCCUAUCAUGUAUCAUAAUUAACUAAGUAAUUAAGCUGCUCUCAACAGACAGAUAGAAGAUCAUGCUAGUUUACGAAGACUACAAAGCAUGGUUCAAAUAAUACAUGGAAAUAACAACAUCCUUUCAAAAAUACAAGUCUUCUUUAGCUGCUGGUUUUGUGUAACUAUACAUAAGAAGCUGUAUAGCAGAAAAAAAUCUUUCAGCCUCAUUAAUAAGGAAUGUCACUAAAAAAUAGGUAGGUAAUCAUGUCUCAUUAUCUUUCAAGAAUGUCACAGCAGAAUCAACACAGCUUCAGUGAGUAUACUGCUGGAUUGCUUCCCUUCUCAUAGCUUUCAGAAGGACUAUCAUUAUAUUUUCAGUAACAAAUCUUCACAAUUUGUAGGAUUGUAAAAAUGCUGAAUAAGAAUGUCCAUUAUUAAAAAGGAAGGAAUCAAAUUGAAUAGUUUUUCUAAUGUCAUAAACACCGCUGAGUCCACAACGUCCAUCUUCUAGGCUUUGAUUAAUAGAAGUCAUUAUAAACAUGCUUGAAUUUAACUUUCCUGAAUAGGAGGACUUUAAGGAUUAAUAUGGGCCUCUGGAAAUGAGAUACAAGAUGUUCUGAAGGAUGCUAACCUCUGACUGAACAGGACAGAAGACAACAAACAACAUAAUUAUCUUUAAUGUCACACAAGUGUGUAAUAUCACUCAAGCAUCUCUAGAGCUGUGCGGCAGAGCUGCGCCUAAAUCUGCUCUUCUGAUUCCCCAGUUUGGAUGAGAAAUUGUGUCUGCUCCUCAGAGAAAGAAAAAAAAUGAAGACUGGAGAAGAUGCAGUUAUCCCUUAUCCUCAUGAACCUCAUUUUAGCAGAUAAAAAGAUACUGAGUCUAGAGAGCAGAUGAGCUGGAUCCAUUACCACAUUUGUAUGACUUAUGGUGGUAGAACUGAUUAUGCCUUAUGGCACCAAAAUCUAGUAAUUCUUGCAGACGGCCCUUGUUCACGGUAAUCAGCCUAUUUGAGGGCAUUCUGCUUUUCAGUGUCCUUGUCAAUGCUAGCACAGAGAUAGAAACAUGCUGCUUCAUGCUCAGAGCUCUCUUGGGGCUUUAGUCUCUUCAUUAUGUGUAGUCCAGGUGUGGCCUAUGACAGAGACCUUUGAAGAAACGGUCUAUACAACUUUGUAUAUUUGUUGAUGGGAGGCUUGGGAAGUAGUUCGACAGGAGGAUUUGUGCCUGUAGAAGUUUAUGGGCAUGUUGGUAAUUUGCACCAGGACUUCUGAGCUGCUUGCUAAUAUCCUUGCCAAAAGUCAUGGAGCUCAGAUUUACAUGGAGUAUAUUUGUCAUUAGGAUUGGUAUUCAUCAAAUGUAACCUCGGUAUCUUGUAUUACUAAAUGUUUUGAUGCGAGUUGUUUUAAUUUUUCCAGAGAUAACCCUGGACUUAUCUUUAAAGCACUCAACAUCCAAUCUCCUCCUGUUUUGCCUUUGCUUAGCUCUCAGCUCUCUGUGUUGAGUGUGAUUGGUGACCUUUUUAAAGAAAGGUAUCAUCACUAAAAGUCUCCUCAUUGACAGCAUCCAUACUCUUAUGUUUUGUAGCUAAUGGAUUUUUUACCAUCUAAAAUAUUAUACAAAGUUUUGUCCCAGUAAAAGCUCACAUGCAGCUGUAAAGUGAUGUCUGCAGCUUAAAGGAGUGUCCCCUCUAAGAGUCGCUGGCAUAUGGGUUUUUAUGUAUUAGGGUCUGUAAAUGAGAUACCACUUGCAAAGAUUAACCAUGUUUCAGGGCUGUGUGCCAGAUGGUAAAAACCAUAUGAGUUGUGGAGUCCUUAGAGAUUUUUUUUUUUUUAGUUUGUUUUUGUUUAUCAUAGAGAAUAUGCUUCUGGGUUCAUAAAGUUUCAGCAUGUUCUUUCUAACGCGUCAUGGAGAAAGAAGUAUUAACUCUAUCCUGAAUCCAGGCCACCGACAGCUAUAAAAAUAGCCUUUAAAAGAGGAGGUAGGCAGCCUAUUUCCUGGGAGAAAAAAAUAGCGGUUUUAAAAUACUUUCUGUGUUGAUGCUAAAAUUAAUGGGUUGUUAUUGUUAUUCUCUGAAAUGAUCUAUUCAGAAGAUAAAGCAAUAUUUUUUGAAACGAAUGUAUUUAAAUACUCUGCUCACGCUGUUUGCCUGGUUAUGUAGUAUUGUUCUUACUACAAUGAACUACGCGUGCUUGGGUGUAAGCUUGCAUUCAAAUAGUACCACAGAGCAGCUUCCCCAGUCAGAUAUACAAAUAACUGGAGAUAUGUGAAAGCCAUGGUGAUGUGAGGCCACAGGCCAGGCAAGCCAAUGCAAGUCAUGGCACACAGCCAGCUUUAACAAGACUCUUCAGUGUACCCUGCUUGGGAGUAAGGCUUGCUGUGUAUGGUCUCUAGGAAGGUGAUGAACCCAUGAUUUUUAGCACAGAUAAAAAGGACACACCAUAAGUUAUCUAAUUGGACAGCAGAAUUUCCAUUUUCUUUGCUUGUGGAAAUUUACCUAACAACAACCUCCAUGUUGGAAAGCAGGCAGCAGCCACACAAGGUCGGUGGAGAUGCAGGAUGGAAAGGACCCUGAAGGCAGUGAGGCCCAGGCCGGCCUCGUGUGGGACGAACCGCAGCCCGUACCGCUUCCAUUGCCCGUAAUACGGAGGUUUGCCCUCGUCGCUGCGGUUUCGCUGCGGUUUCAGCCACCGCCGCGGAGCGCCCGGAGUCCGCUGGGGUCGGUCGGCAG